GACGUAGGGCGCGAGCGUUGUCCGGAUUUAUUGGGCGUAAAGAGCUCGUAGGCGGCUUGUCGCGUCGACUGCGAAAACCCGCGGCUCAACUGCGGGCCUGCAGCCGAUACGGGCAGACUAGAGUGAUGUAGGGGAGACUGGAAUUCCUGGUGUAGCGGUGAAAUGCGCAGAUAUCAGGAGGAACACCGAUGGCGAAGGCAGGUCUCUGGGCAUUAACUGACGCUGAGGAGCGAAAGCGUGGGGAGCGAACAGG
rnacentral:rRNA from 1 species